ACGAACGCUGGCGGCGUGCUUAACACAUGCAAGUCGAGCGGUAAGGCCCUUUCGGGGGUACACGAGCGGCGAACGGGUGAGUAACACGUGGGUGACCUGCCCUCAGCUCUGGGAUAAGCCUGGGAAACUGGGUCUAAUACUGGAUAUGACUCCACGGUGCAUGUCGUGGGGUGGAAAGCCUUGUGCGGCUGAGGAUGGGCCCGCGGCCUAUCAGCUUGUUGGUGGGGUGANGGGCCUACCAAGGCGACGACGGGUAGCCGGCCUGAGAGGGCGACCGGCCACACUGGGACUGAGACACGGCCCAGACUCCUACGGGAGGCAGCAGUGGGGAAUCUUGCGCAAUGGGCGAAAGCCUGACGCAGCGACGCCGCGUGAGGGAUGACGGCCUGG
rnacentral:rRNA from 1 species